rnacentral:rRNA from 1 species
AGUGAACGCUGGCGGUAGGCCUAACACAUGCAAGUCGAACGGCAGCACAGUAAGAGCUUGCUCUUACGGGUGGCGAGUGGCGGACGGGUGAGGAAUACAUCGGAAUCUACUUUUUCGUGGGGGAUAACGUAGGGGAACUUACGCUAAUACCGCAUACGACCUACGGGUGAAAGCAGGGGAUCUUCGGACCUUGCGCGAUUGAAUGAGCCGAUGUCGGAUUAGCUAGUUGGCGGGGUAAAGGCCCACCAAGGCGACGAUCCGUAGCUGGUCUGAGAGGAUGAUCAGCCACACUGGAACUGAGACACGGUCCAGACUCCUACGGGCGGCAGCAGUGGGGAAUAUUGGACAGUGGGCGCAAGCCUGAUCCAGCCAUACCGCGUGGGUGAAGAAGGCCUUCGGGUUGUAAAGCCCUUUUGUUGGGAAAGAAAAGCAGCAGGUUAAUACCCCGCUGUUCUGACGGUACCCAAAGAAUAAGCACCGGCUAACUUCGU